UGGUUUGCUGCUGAGGUAUGUCCCUUUGUCACCUAUGUCACUUCAGCUGAGGUUCGUUGCGCCCAACUGUAGACCAUGAAGACCUGUGUUUGCACUAUAUAUUUUUUCGUCGUAAUCGUACCAUCAACUUGCUUGUCGUGCCGGAGUGGAUAGCAUAUAGCGGACACUCUCGGCUUAUGCUCUAAGCCAAAGGUAGAUAUAUUUGGGUUUGGAUUCCCAAAGCACAUCCCAAUCAGGCUAUGCAAAAUGGAGCGGCCCACAAUUUCGUGGAGAUGGUCUUGCGCGCUCGUCAUCAACAGCACUAGGUCCAGUGGGCCAAUCAGGCUGAAUGGCAUCAUCCAGCUGUGACUGGGGUGUAGGAGUCGCCACCUGCUGUUGCGCCGACUCGUGCUAGUACUCGCAUGAGCUCGCUGGAAUUGCUAUGUGCAUCCACAAAGUCCGAAAGAACAAGCUGGAAAGGGGUCUGGGAUCGUGCAACGGCGAGGGAAUUGUAUAAGCACAGAACUGUGUCACACCCUGUACGAUACAGGAGCGUACCUCGUUUCUUACUGGUACCAUAUGACCCGUGACUGAGAUGAGCGCCAAGCUUCGAAAUAAGGCUGGACAGUAGCCACCGGUUGUUGCAGUCGAUGGAUGGUGAAGAAAUCAGCAGCUGUUGCCAGAAGAAGAGAACGGUUCUCGAGGAAUGCAAGACAGACGAAUCUUGCUGUUGCCAGCA